UGCAGUCGNNCGGCAGCACGGAGCUUGCUCUGGUGGCGAGUGGCGAACGGGUGAGUAAUGCGUCGGAACGUAUCCAAUAAUGGGGGAUAACGCAGCGAAAGCUGUGCUAAUACCGCAUACGCCCUCCGGGGGAAAGCAGGGGAUCGUAAGACCUUGCGUUAAUGGAGCGGCCGACGUCUGAUUAGCUAGUUGGUAGGGUAAAGGCCUACCAAGGCGACGAUCAGUAGCUGGUCUGAGAGGAUGAUCAGCCACACUGGGACUGAGACACGGCCCAGACUCCUACGGGAGGCAGCAGUGGGGAAUUUUGGACAAUGGGCGCAAGCCUGAUCCAGCCAUUCCGCGUGAGUGAAGAAGGCCUUCGGGUUGUAAAGCUCUUUCAGGAGGGAAGAAACGAUUGUGGCUAAUACCCAUGAUUAAUGACGGUACCUUCAGAAGAAGCACCGGCUAACUACGUGCCAGCAGCCGCGGUAAUACGUAGGGUGCGAGCGUUAAUCGGAAUUACUGGGCGUAAAGCGUGCGCAGGCGGUUUUUCAAGUCUGAUGUGAAAUCCCCGGGCUUAACCUGGGAACUGCGUUGGAAACUGAAAGACUAGAGUGCGGCAGAGGGGGGUAGAAUUCCACGUGUAGCAGUGAAAUGCGUAGAUAUGUGGAGGAAUACCGAUGGCGAAGGCAGCCCCCUGGGUCGACACUGACGCUCAUGCACGAAAGCGUGGGUAGCAAACAGGAUUAGAUACCCUGGUAGUCCACGCCCUAAACGAUGUCAACUAGUUGUUGGGGAGGGAGACCUCCUUAGUAACGCAGCUAACGCGUGAAGUUGACCGCCUGGGGAGUACGGUCGCAAGAUUAAAACUCAAAGGAAUUGACGGGGGCCCGCACAAGCGGUGGAUUAUGUGGAUUNAUUCGAUGCNACGCGAAAAAC
rnacentral:rRNA from 1 species